CUUUUUAAAGGGCAAAAUGCACUUUUUUUUGGUAAUUUUGUCCAUCAUCCACAAUCUUUAUGUACGACAAAAACACGUCUUUCCGUUUUCUGUGAAUUCGAAGUACUGAAAGGUUGUUUGCCUUAGGCUAUUAUUUUGCCUCGGGCUGCAAGGAUUAAUCGACUGAUUCGGUGAGAGAAAAGCUGCGAUUUAUAUUAUUUUGCUUUGAUUAAUUGUGUGAGUGUAACCAAAUAAAAUAAAAUAAAAUCUGGACCGCAUAAAAGAAGGUAAAACAAGUGAAAUAGAAGGUAAUGGGUAAAUUUAAUGUAAAAGAAGGUAAAGGUAAAUGAAGGUCAAUCGAAGGCAAGGGAAGGUAGAAAAAAGGUAAAUAGAAGGAACAAGUUAAAUAAAUGGUAAGACAAGGUAAAGGGUAAGCUGGAGUUGAAAUAAGCUAAAUAAUAUGUAAAAAAUGAUUUUAAAAAGUUAAAUACAAUGUAAAUUAAAAGUAAAAUAAGGUAAUUAAAAAGGUAAACAAAAGGUCAAACAAGUAUAAAUAGAAUUUAAAAGAUGGUACAACAAGGUAUAGGGUAAAUAAAAGUUAAUUAGAAGGUAAAAGACAGUGUAUAGAAGGUAAACACAAGGCAAUAGAAGGUAAUAAAAAGUAAAAGCAAGUGGGAAAAGGUCAAUUGAAGUCAAAAGAAGAUUAAUAUAAGGUAAAUAUAAAGGAAAAUAUGGUAAAUAAAAGGAAAAAGAAGGUAAUUAGAAAGGGUGAAUAAGGGGUAAAUGAAGGUGAAUAGAAGGUAAUUAUGAGUUAAAAGAAGAAAACAUAGAAGGUAAAAGCAUGUAAAUAAAAUAUAAAAUAAGGUGAAAAGAGGGUAAAUAUAAGCUAAAAAAUGUUAGAA